rnacentral:rRNA from 1 species
GAUGAACGCUGGCGGCGUGCUUAACACAUGCAAGUCGAGCGAAGCGCUUAAACGGAUUUCUUCGGAUUGAAGUUUUUGUGACUGAGCGGCGGACGGGUGAGUAACGCGUGGGUAACCUGCCUCAUACAGGGGGAUAACAGUUAGAAAUGGCUGCUAAUACCGCAUAAGCGCACAGGACCGCAUGGUCUGGUGUGAAAAACUCCGGUGGUAUGAGAUGGACCCGCGUCUGAUUAGCUAGUUGGAGGGUAACGCCACAAGGCGACGAUCAGUAGCCGGCCUGAGAGGGUGAACGGGCACAUUGGGACUGAGACACGGCCCAGACUCCUACGGGAGGCAGCAGUGGGGAAUAUUGCACAAUGGGGGAAACCCUGAUGCAGCGACG